GGAUGUGAGGGCAAUCUAGCUGCGACAUCUAUCACCCCAUUGAUCGCCAGGGUUUAUUGGGCUGAUCUGGCUGGCUAGGCGGGUGUCCCCUUCCUCCCUCACCGCUCCAUGUGCGUCCCUCCAGAAGCUGCGCACUUGGUCAAAGAGGAGGACCAGUCUUCGGUCAAGGGUAUACGAGUAGCUGCGCUCCCCUGCUAGAACCUCCAAACAAGCUCUCUAAGCGUAUCUAAGUUGAUAGAACAAACUCUUAAUAUUAAUAAAGUACAUUGGGACUGCAAAUUUUACUU
rnacentral:snRNA from 1 species